rnacentral:rRNA from 1 species
AGCUCCAGUAGCGUAUAUUAAAGUUGUUGCAGUUAAAAAGCUCGUAGUUGGAUUUCUGAUGUGACGUACCUGGUCCUUUCCAAUAGGAUUGAGUACUGGCGUAUGUCCAUCAUCCUUCUAGUCAACCAUAUGCCCUUUAUUGGUGUGUAUGGCGAACUAGAUCUUUUACUUUGAAUAAAUUAGAGUGUUUAAAGCAGGCUUGCGUUUGAAUAUAUUAGCAUGGAAUAAUAACAUAGGACUUUGGUCUUAGUUGUUGGUUUCUUGGCUGAAGUAAUGAUUGAUAGGGAUAGUUGGGGGUGCUAGUAUUGAAUGGCCAGAGGUGAAAUUCAUGGAUUCAUUUAAGACUAACUUAUGCGAAAGCAUUCACCAAGGAUGUCUUCUUUA